UGUAGGUCAACUCAGGUAGGACGGGUGGGUCUAACUUGUUAGGCUGCCCCGCACUAUCGACCGGCCAUGAUCCUCUGGAAAAAGGUCUGAGUGUGAGCAUAUAUGUUGGGACCCGAAAGAUGGUGAACUAUGCCUGAAUAGGGUGAAGCCAGGGGAAACUCUGGUGGAGGCUCGUAGCGAUUCUGACGUGCAAAUCGAUCGUCAAAUUUGGGUAUAGGGGCGAAAGACUAAUCGAACCAUCUAGUAGCUGGUUCCCUCCGAAAUUUCCCUCAGGAUAGCAGUAACUCGGUCAACACAGUUUUAUCAGGUAAAGCGAAUGAUUAGAGGACUCGGGGAAGAAACUUCCUUGACCUAUUCUCAAACUUUAAAUGGGUAAGAGCACGGGGUUACUUAAUUGAACCCUGCUGUAGAAUGUGAGUUGCUAGUGGGCCAUUCCGGGUAAGCUGGACUGGCGAUGCGGGAUGAUCCGAACGUCAAGUUAAAGUGCCAAAGUGUUCGCUCACCUAGAUCCCAUAAAAGGUGUUGGUUCAUCUAG
rnacentral:rRNA from 1 species